GUUGAACGCUGGCGGAAUGCUUUACUCAUGCAAGUCGAACGGCAGCACGGGUGCUUGCACCUGGUGGCGAGUGGCGAACGGGUGAGUAACAUAUCGGAACGUACCCAGUAAUGGGGGAUAACUAGUCGAAAGAUUAGCUAAUACCGCAUACGCCCUGAGGGGGAAAGCGGGGGACCGUAAGGCCUCGCGUUAUUGGAGCGGCCGAUAUCUGAUUAGCUAGUUGGUGGGGUAAAGGCCUACCAAGGCGACGAUCAGUAGCUGGUCUGAGAGGAUGAUCAGCCACACUGGAACCUGAGACACGGUCCCAGACUCCUACGGGAGGCAGCAGUGGGGAAUUUUGGGACAAUGGGCGCAAGCCUGAUCCAGCCAUUCCGCGUGAGUGAA
rnacentral:rRNA from 1 species